GGCGUGCUAUACAUGCAAGUCGAGCGAACAGAAGGGAGCUUGCUCCCGGAUGUUAGCGGCGGACGGGUGAGUAACACGUGGGUAACCUGCCUGUAAGACUGGGAUAACUCCGGGAAACCGGAGCUAAUACCGGAUAGUUCCUUGAACCGCAUGGUUCAAGGAUGAAAGACGGUUUCGGCUGUCACUUACAGAUGGACCCGCGGCGCAUUAGCUAGUUGGUGGGGUAAUGGCUCACCAAGGCGACGAUGCGUAGCCGACCUGAGAGGGUGAUCGGCCACACUGGGACUGAGACACGGCCCAGACUCCUACGGGAGGCAGCAGUAGGGAAUCUUCCGCAAUGGACGAAAGUCUGACGGAGCAACGCCGCGUGAGUGAUGAAGGUUUUCGGAUCGUAAAGCUCUGUUGUUAGGGAAGAACAAGUGCGAGAGUAACUGCUCGCACCUUGACGGUACCUAACCAGAAAGCCACGGCUAACUACGUGCCAGCAGCCGCGGUAAUACGUAGGUGGCAAGCGUUGUCCGGAAUUAUUGGGCGUAAAGGGCUCGCAGGCGGUUUCUUAAGUCUGAUGUGAAAGCCCCCGGCUCAACCGGGGAGGGUCAUUGGAAACUGGGAAACUUGAGUGCAGAAGAGGAGAGUGGAAUUCCACGUGUAGCGGUGAAAUGCGUAGAGAUGUGGAGGAACACCAGUGGCGAAGGCGACUCUCUGGUCUGUAACUGACGCUGAGGAGCGAAAGCGUGGGGAGCGAACAGGAUUAGAUACCCUGGUAGUCCACGCCGUAAACGAUGAGUGCUAAGUGUUAGGGGGUUUCCGCCCCUUAGUGCUGCAGCUAACGCAUUAAGCACUCCGCCUGGGGAGUACGGUCGCAAGACUGAAACUCAAAGGAAUUGACGGGGGCCCGCACAAGCGGUGGAGCAUGGGGUUUAAUUUCGAAGCAACGCGAAGAACCUUACCAGGUCUUGACAUCCUCUGACAACCCUAGAGAUAGGGCUUUUCCCUCCGGGGACAAGAGUGACAGUGGUGGCAUGGUUGUCGUCAGCUCGGUGCCGUGGAGAUGUUGGGGUUAGUCCUGCAUCGUGAGCUGCUAAACCCUUUGAUCUUAGUUGCCAGCAUCUAGUGGGGCACCUUCUAAGGGGGACUGCCGUUGACAAUCGUAGGAAGGGGGGAAUGACGUCAAAUCAUCAUGCCUCUUAAGGACUUGGGCUAACACAUGUGCUUACAAUGGCCAGGACCAGGGCGUGACAGUACACGCGUACAAGGGUUAA
rnacentral:rRNA from 1 species